rnacentral:rRNA from 1 species
UUACUAAGCGGAGAAAGAAACUAACCAGGAUUUCCCUAGUAACGGCGAGCGAACCGGAAAGAGCCCAGCUUGAAAAUCGGGGUGCCUCGCACCCCGAAUUGUAGUCUGGAGAAGCAUCCUCUGCAGCGCACCGGACCCAAGUCCCCUGGAAAGGGGCGUCAGAGAGGGUGACAACCCCGUCGAGUCCGGACCGUGCUGCUCCACGAGGUGCUAUCGACGAGUCGGGCUGUUUGGGAAUGCAGCCCUAAGUGGGUGGUAAAUUCCAUCCAAGGCUAAAUAUUGGCAGGAGACCGAUAGCGAACAAGUACCGCGAGGGAAAGAUGAAAAGGACUUUGAAAAGAGAGUUAAAAAGUGCUUGAAAUUGCUGGGAGGGAAGCGAAUGGAAGCUGCGGGUGCGCCCCGGUUGGAUGUGGAACGGCUUCGGCUGGUCCGCCGCUCAACGCGGGGCGCUGGUCAGCGUGGGCUGCCGCGGCGGGACAAGAGCGGGGAUGAGUUCCCCGUCUAUGCCGUUGCGGCGGCCGAGGAACGAAGCAUGCGGCCCCCUCGGGGGCCGUGGGACUCGUCCCAACUGCGUGCUCGGGACGCUGGCGUAUUGAGCUCUUCAUCCGACCCGUCUUGAAACACGGACCAAGGAGUCUAACAUGUAUGCGAGCCGGUGGGCGGCAAACCCAUUGAGGCGCAAGUAAACUGACAGGUGGGACCCCUCUACCAAGGGAGCACCAUCGACCGACCG